rnacentral:rRNA from 1 species
UCGAGAAUCUUCGGCAAUGGGCGCAAGCCUGACCGAGCGACGCCGCGUGCGGGAUGAAGGCCUUCGGGUUGUAAACCGCUGUCGAAGGGGAGGAAAUUGUAGUGGGUUCACCCAUUAUAUUGACCGAUCCUUGGAGGAAGGGCCGGCUAAUCUCGUGCCAGCAGCCGCGGUAAUACGAGAGGCCCAAACGUUAUUCGGAUUUACUGGGCUUAAAGAGUUCGUAGGCGGUCUGGUAAGUGGGGUGUGAAAGCCCUCGGCUCAACCGAGGAAUUGCGCUCCAAACUGCCGGGCUUGAGGGAGAUAGAGGUGAGCGGAACUGAUGGUGGAGCGGUGAAAUGCGUUGAUAUCAUCAGGAACACCAGAGGCGAAGGCGGCUCACUGGGUCUUUUCUGACGCUGAGGAACGAAAGCUAGGGGAGCAAACGGG